rnacentral:rRNA from 1 species
GACGAACGCUGGCGGCGUGCCUAAUACAUGCAAGUUGAGCGAUGAAGAUUGGUGCUUGCACCAAUUUGAAGAGCAGCGAACGGGUGAGUAACGCGUGGGGAAUCUGCCUUUGAGCGGGGGACAACAUUUGGAAACGAAUGCUAAUACCGCAUAACAACUUUAAACAUAAGUUUUAAGUUUGAAAGAUGCAAUUGCAUCACUCAAAGAUGAUCCCGCGUUGUAUUAGCUAGUUGGUGAGGUAAAGGCUCACCAAGGCGAUGAUACAUAGCCGACCUGAGAGGGUGAUCGGCCACAUUGGGACUGAGACACGGCCCAAACUCCUACGGGAGGCAGCAGUAGGGAAUCUUCGGCAAUAGACGAAAGUCUGACCGAGCAACGCCGCGUGAGUGAAGAAGGUUUUCGGAUCGUAAAACCCUGUUGGUAGAGAAGAACGUUGGUGAGAGUGGAAAGCUCAUCAAGUGACGGUAACUACCCAGAAAGGGACGGCUAACUACGUG